rnacentral:rRNA from 1 species
GAUGAACGCUGGCGGCGUGCCUAAUACAUGCAAGUCGAGCGAACGGACGAGAAGCUUGCUUCUCUGAUGUUAGCGGCGGACGGGUGAGUAACACGUGGAUAACCUACCUAUAAGACUGGGAUAACUUCGGGAAACCGGAGCUAAUACCGGAUAAUAUUUUGAACCGCAUGGUUCAAAAGUGAAAGACGGUCUUGCUGUCACUUAUAGAUGGAUCCGCGCUGCAUUAGCUAGUUGGUAAGGUAACGGCUUACCAAGGCAACGAUGCAUAGCCGACCUGAGAGGGUGAUCGGCCACACUGGAGCUGAGACACGGUCCAGACUCCUACGGGAGGCAGCAGUAGGGAAUCUUCCGCAAUGGGCGGAAGCCUGACGGAGCAACGCCGCGUGAGUGAUGAAGGUCUUCGGAUCGUAAAACUCUGUUAUUAGGGAAGAACAUAUGUGUAAGUAACUGUGCACAUCUUGACGGUACCUAAUCAGAAAGCCACGGCUAACUACGUG